UGAAUUUACAAACAUCAAGUAAAGGAAGUCAACUAGACUCAAGAAAUCUCCCAGAAGGCCUUCUGAGGACAGUGACCAUAAAGAGAGACAGUUUUAAUACAAAUCACAAGUCCGCUUCCCACAAGCCCUCCAGCGGAAAGAACCAAAGUAAAACCGAGGAGAGCCAGGAGAGAGGGAGGAAGAGGAGACUUAGAAAAACAAAAUAUGGGACACCAUAAAGAGAAAGAUUAAAUGUGUACUUGGAGUGGAUCUCAUAGGUUGGAGCAGCUACAUUUUAGCAUGGAUAUCUGGGAUGUUCCAAAUGGGUGUUUGUCUGCAUGGGAGAACUGAAGACCUAUUCGAUCUGAGAUAUUCCCACCAGGCUGUCAGAUAUGUACUGAUAUUGAUGCUGUUAAAACAGCUAUGCUGCUUAAGCAAAGGGCUGAUAAAUGGAAUAUCUGAGAAACAGAUU